rnacentral:lncRNA from 1 species
GCAAGGGAGUGAUAAGGGCAUAGAGGAAUGGGCACAUUCGAUCUGCUUGGGUGAGCAGUAGGGGACAUUGAGGACAGGCAUAUAGGUGUACAGAAUAUAAUGUGUACAUGGGGCAGGGAAAGAGAGGCAGAUGAUUUACCAUGAGGAAUGUCACUUCUCCAUCUUCCUGGAGACAUGACAUUAUCAGAGGCCAGCUCUCCUAAAUGAUGGAUGGUAUAAGCCACUGAAUGUGGGGAAGUUGAUGACAAAGUGUCACAUAUAAGGACUGGAGGAAAACCAGCUCUACCUAGACUGGGGUGUCAACAAAAACCAUGAGAUGGAUGUGGCUUUUGGUUUCCCUUGAGGAACUGCCAGCAGGGCGGGAACCUCUACUUGACUGAGAAGAUCAGUAGAAGGAGCACAAAAACGCAGUUUGGAUGUCCUGCAUGGGGAAACAUUUUUGUUGUGGCUGCUCCCGGUUAGAGGAGCUUUCCCAAAUGUGCAAUACCUGGGAAGAACAUUUGAGCUUGGCCAAGACAAAAUGCUCAAGGUCUUCUGGCAUGGGAAACACCACCAGAAAAAGACAAAUGGUGAUGAGGAUGGCAGUCUUGAGAAGAACAGAAAAUGCUCAAAUGAAGAUCUCUGGGGACCUGUGCUUUCACUGCUAUGCAGACAUUGACACUGGCACAGUUCCGCAAAAUAUCUAAGUGUUUCCCAGUGCUUCUGCAGCUGCAUUCAGCCUUCUGUCAUUACAGAGGGGUGGAGGGUCUGAAGCCACUUCCAGGCUUGCAGGAAAGGAUUUCUGAAUAAAUAAUACCAUGGGCAGAAAUACA